AGUCUGGGACACGUAGUUGCAAACCUAGCGACUUUGUUGUUAGAUUCAAUGACUUUUCAGACACCCUAACGACUUUUUUUUUAGAAAGAAAGGGACUUUUAUCGACUUCUUCUGGAGUUUAGAGACUCUGACAUGAAGCAGGCUUUCCUUACUGAGGAGUUAGCAACGCUGCUAAGGGUGCAGAGCCACACAUGCGCUCAGAGCUCUGCAUGGGAGACUGAAGCUGACAGAGCUGCAGCAGUUAGCAGGUUUCACCCUCAGAGACCACCAGGGGUUCAUGUUGAGGCAUUUUAAUUUUUUUUUUUUUUUGUGCCAUAGACACUGUCAGCACAAUCUGCAGUUACACUAACAAAAAUGCUGCAAAAAACAAAGAAUUAUGGAAAAAUUACACAUGGACUGACAUAGAGGAGGAUCUACACAAGUUUUUUACAUCAUGUUUUACAUCAUGCAUCAUUUACAUCAUGUUUUUUUGUAGUGGCAUAAAUAAAAAGUGACAUUUGUGAGACUAUACAGUGUUUUGUAAAUAAUUUUACAAAGAACGCCUGGGCCAUUGCCUGCAUUUUGAUGUAAAUAGAGGUAAAUUACUAUGUUCUUUGUUAAAAAUUUGCAUAUGUUUUGAAGUUUACAAUUUUUAUUUGAAGUUUAAGUUUUAAAAACAGUUCAUCAGACAUAUUUGUGGUUUAAUUUCACAUUAAUUUCCAUAUUGUAUAAAUGACUGGAAAAAACUUGAGCCCCUGCCCCUGUAUAAUCAUGUGCACGUCCCUGUUCUAGCUCCAAGGUGAAUCUUCACUGCUCAUGUUCUCCUCAGAAGUAGUCACCUCACUCUCCUCAGGUUACUGUACACAUGCACCAACUAUCUGCUUCAGGUUUGGAUGGAGCUUCAUGGUUGUCUUUUGGAGAAAUGAACAGUCAAGUUGUGUUUGAAAUUUGAUUUUUUUCAGGGGCAAAAGGAAGCCUCUGCAUUCUUGUCAAAUAUGUAAACAGCAUGUUUUUGCAGGUGCUAAAAAACAGACUCUGAGUGUGUGUGUGUGUGUGUGUGUGUGUGUGUGUGUGUGUGUGUGUGUGUUGGCGUGUGUGUAUAUGUGUGUGUGUCCGGCAGUACUCUGUACUCCUGCAGUGGCCAAAAAGACUUUUAAGAAUGUGGAUUUUUGGGUCAUCUUUGGCGCCCCCUAGAACUGCAGUACUCUGUACUCCUGCAGUGGCCAAAAUGACUUUUAAGAAUGUGGAUUUUUGGGUCCUCUUUGGCGCCCCCUAGAACGUAAACCGUGGGGUGCAGCGUCAUGAUUUUUACAACUUUGAAUGGCCAUGGGGUGUGGAUUGGCCUGAGCAAAUUUGGUAUCAGUGGGACGAAAGCCUUAGGAGGAGUUAGCCACAUUCCAAUGUGUGCGAAUCGGCAAAAAAUGCGAAAUAGCCCUUUAACCAUACAUUUGACAGAUACGUGCCUAUUGACUUUUUUGUAGAUCUUAUUGAGAUACACGUGAUUGUCAAAUUGUGUGUCAAUAUGACAAAGUGUAUAGGCGUGACACUCAACAAUGUGUAUUUUUACCUUAGGAGACAAGAAAAAAUGGACUUUUUUCUCCUGCCAUGGGGGGGCGCUCUUUUGGGGAGUAAAAAUUCCUUCACAAAUGUGUUGAUGGCUGGACAUUGCAUCAUCCUAGAAAACUUGGAGGCCAGUGAGGACAAAAAUAAAAAGUUAUAAGACUUUUAAGAAUGUGGAUUUUUGUGUUAUCUUUGGCGCCCCCUAGAAAGUAAACCGUGGGGUGCAGCAUCAUGAUUUGUACAACUUUUAAUGGCCAUGGGGUGUAGAUUGGCCUGAGCAAACUUGGUGCCGGUGGAACGAAAGCCUUCGGAGGAGUUAGCGAAAUUCCAAUGUGUGCGGAUCGGCAAAAAAAGCGAAAUAGCCCUUUAACCGUACAUUUGGUAGAUACGCCCGCACUGACUUUUUCGUAGAUCUUAUUGAGAUACACAUGUGUGUCAAAUUUUGUGUCAUUUUGACAAAGCGUACAGGCAUCAGGUGAGUUUUCACCAUAGGGGGCGCUAUGGUGCCAUUUUUCAUUUUUUUGUUUGGACGACUUCAGAAUAUCAAAUUUUUCACCAGGCCCGGUCGUCCUGCCAAAUUUCCUGAGUUUUCGCCAGUGGGAAGUGGGCCAUUUUCCAGUUUAAAGCGGAGGAAAAAUAACGAAAGAAGAAUCCAUCAGGAACAAGAGGGCUCUCGCAGCUGCUUAGCAGCUACGCUCGGGCCCUAACUAGGGCCCCGUUGGGGCACUGGCGGGCCCGAGCCGUGUCACGCCGCCCCCAGCACGACCGCCUCCCCCACCCGAUCGCGUCACACUCAAGGUCCAAAGAUGGUGUGCGCACUUGUUUGUGGUCAUUUACCAUUAUAAUGAACGGGAGGCGCAGUUUCUACCAAAACGCUCGCUGCAGAAAAACUCCAUGUCCUAUUUGAAAAAAGUCUGGACCAUGAGUGAGGGCACAAACACAGCUAAGAUAUAUCCAAAUGGCAAGUUGCUCCUCCUUUCGCUUUUGCCGAGAGAGCAGUGCGUUUGAGCCAUUGAAUGAUGAACAGGAAAAACUUGACUUCAUUCUCCUGCCAUGGGGGGGCGCUCUUUUAACGAGAAAAAACUCCUUCACAAAUGUGUUGAUGACUGGACAUUGCAUCAUCCUAGAAAACAUGGAGGCCAGUGAGGACAAAAAUAAAAAGUUAUAAGACUUUUAAAUAUGUGGAUUUUAGGGUUAUCUUUGGCGCCCCCUAGAACCUAAACCGUGGGGUGCAGCGUCAUGAUUUGAAUAACUUUUAACGGCCAUGGGGUGUAGAUUGGCCUGAGCAAAUGUGGUGCCGGUGGAACGAAAGCCUUCGGAGGAGUUAGCGAAAUUCCAAUGUGUGCGAAUCUGCAAAAAAUGCGAAAUAACCCUUUAACCGUACAUUUUACAGAUACGUGGCCAUUGACUUUUUCGAAGAUCUUAUUGAAAGACACGUGUAUGUAAAAUUUUGUGUCAAUACGACAAAACAUACAGGCGUAGCACUCAACAAUGUGUAUUUUCACCUUAAUGGACAAGAAAAAAUGGACUUUUUUCUCCUGCCAUGGGGGGGCGCUCUUUUGGCGAGUAAAAAUUCCUUCACAAAUGUGUUGAUGGCUGGACAUUGCAUCAUCCUAGAAAACUUGGAGGCCAGUGGGGACAAAAAUAAAAAGUUAUAAGACUUUUAAAUAUGUGGAUUUUACGGUUAUCUUUGGCGCCCCCUAGAACCUAAACCGUGGGGUGCAGCGUCAUGAUUUGAAUAACUUUUAAUGGCCAUGGGGUGUAGAUUGGCCUGAGAAAAUGUGGUGCCGGUGGAACGAAAGCCUUCGGAGGAGUUAGCGAAAUUCCAAUGUGUGCGGAUCGGCAAAAAAUGCGGAAUAACCCUUUAACCGUACAUUUGACAGAUACGUGCGCAUUGACUUUUUUGUAGAUCUUAUUGAGAUACAUGUGUGUGUCAAUUUUGGUGUCAUUUUGCCAAAGCGUACAGGUGUUACACUCAACAAUGUGUAUUUUCACCUUAGGGGACAAGAAAAAAUGGACUUUUUUCUCCUGCCAUGGGGGGGCGCUCUUUUGGGGAGUAAAAAUUCCUUCACAAAUGUGUUGAUGGCUGGACAUUGCAUCAUCCUAGAAAACUUGGAGGCCAGUGAGGGCAAAAAUAAAAAGUUAUAAGACUUUUAAAUAUGUGGAUCUUAGGGUUAUAUUUGGCGCCCCCUAGAACCUAAACCGUGGGGUGCAGCGUCAUGAUUUGAAUAACUUUUAAUGGCCAUGGGGUGUAGAUUGGCCUGAGCAAAUGUGGUGCCGGUGGAACGAAAGCCUUCGGAGGAGUUAGCGAAAUUCCAAUGUGUGCGGAUCGGCAAAAAAUGCGAAAUAACCCUUUAACCGUACAUUUGACAGAUACGCCCGCACUGACUUUUUUGUAGAUCUUUUUGAGAUACAUGUGUGUGUCAAUUUUUGUGUCAUUUUGACAAAGCGUACACGCGUGACAGUCAAUAGUGUGAAUUUUCACCUUAGGGGGCGCUAUGGAGCCAUUUUGCAUUUUCUUGUUUGGGCGACUUCGGAAUAUCAAAUUUUUCACCAGGCCCGGUCGUCCUGCCAAAUUUCAUGAGUUUUCACCAGUGGGAAGUGGGCCAUUUUCCAGUUCAAAGGGGAGGAAAAAUAACUAGGGCCCCGGUGGGGCACUGUCGGGCCCGAGCCGCGUCGCGCCGCCCCUAGCGCGACCGCCUCCCCCUCCCGAUCGCGUCACACUCAAGGUCCAAAGAUGGUGUGCGCACUUGUCUGUGGUCAUUUCCCAUUAUAAUGAAUGGGAGGCGCAGUUUCUACCAAAACACUCGCUGCAGACAAACUUCAUGUCCUAUUUGAAAAAAGUCUGGACCAUGAGUGAGGGCACAAACACAGCUAUGAUAUAUCGAAAUGGCAGGUUGCUCCUCCUUACGGUGUUGCCUGGAGAGCGAUGCGAUUGAGCCAUUGAGCGAUGGGCAGGGUUAACUUGACUUUUUCUCCUGCCUUGGGGGGGGAUGUGGAUUCCUUUAAGAAUGUGGAUUUUUGGGUCAUCUUUGGCGCCCCCUAGAACGUAAACCGUGGGGUGCAGCGUCAUGAUUUUUACAACUUUGAAUGGCCAUGGGGUGUAGAUUGGCCUGAGCAAAUUUGGUGUCAGUGGGACGAAAGCCUUAGGAGGAGUUAGCCACAUUCCAAUGUGUGCGAAUCGGCAAAAAAUGCAAAAUAGCCCUUUAACCGUACAUUUGACAGAUACGCGCACAUUGACUUUUUUGUAGAUCUUAUUGAGAUACAUAUGUGUGUCAAUUUUUGUGUCAAUAUGAUAAAGCGUACAGGCGUGACAGUCAAUAGUGUGAAUUUCCACCUUAGGGGACAAGAAAAAAUUGACUUUUUUCUCCUGCCAUGGGGGGGCGCUCUUUUGGGGAGUAAAAAUUCCUUCACAAAUGUGUUGAUGGCUGGACAUUGCAUCAUCCUAGAAAACUUGGAGGCCAGUGAGGACAAAAAUAAAAAGUUAUAAGACUUUUAAAUAUGUGGAUUUUAGUGUUAUCUUUGGCGCCCCCUAGAACCUAAACCUUGGGGUGCAGCGUCAUGAUUUGAAUAACUUUUAAUGGCCAUGGGGUGUAGAUUGGCCUGAGCAAAUGUGGUGCCGGUGGAACGAAAGCCUUCGGAGGAGUUAGCGAAAUUCCAAUGUGUGCGGAUCGGCAAAAAAUGCGGAAUAACCCUUUAACCGUACAUUUGACAGAUACGCGCGCAUUGACUUUUUCGUAGAUCUUAUUGAGAUACAUGUGUGUGUCAAUUUUUGUGUCAUUUUGCCAAAGCAUACAGGUGUUACACUCAACAAUGUGUAUUUUCACCUUAGGGGACAAGAAAAAAUGGACUUUUUUCUCCUGCCAUGGGGGGCGCUCUUUUGGGGAGUAAAAAUUCCUUCACAAAUGUGUUGAUGGCUGGACAUUGCAUCAUCCUAGAAAACUUGGAGGCCAGUGAGGGCAAAAAUAAAAAGCUAUAAGACUUUUAAAUAUGUGGAUCUUAGGGUUAUCUUUGGCGCCCCCUAGAACCUAAACCGUGGGGUGCAGCGUCAUGAUUUGAAUAACUUUUAAUGGCCAUGGGGUGUAGAUUGGCCUGAGCAAAUGUGGUGCCGGUGGAACGAAAGCCUUCGGAGGAGUUAGCGAAAUUCCAAUGUGUGCGGAUCGGCAAAAAAUGCGAAAUAACCCUUUAACCGUACAUUUGACAGAUACGCCCGCACUGACUUUUUUGUAGAUCUUAUUGAGAUACAUGUGUGUGUCAAUUUUUGUGUCAUUUUGACAAAGCGUACACGCGUGACAGUCAAUAGUGUGAAUUUUCACCUUAGGGGGCGCUAUGGAGCCAUUUUGCAUUUUCUUGUUUGGGCGACUUCGGAAUAUCAAAUUUUUCACCAGGCCCGGUCGUCCUGCCAAAUUUCAUGAGUUUUCGCCAGUGGGAAGUGGGCCAUUUUCCAGUUCAAAGGGGAGGAAAAAUAAUAACUAGGACCCCGUUGGGGCACUGGCGGGCCCGAGCCGUGUCGCGUCCCCCCCCAACGUGCUGCCUCCCCGUCCCAUUUGUGUCCUCUGGCCAUCGCCCUCUCUGGUAACGCCCAUCACUGCAAAGACCCUUUUCCUUCAUUGGCGUUUGCUGUUCUUCUUGCCAGUGCGUGUUGCUUUCACUUACACUUGCCACAGCCAGCCUCGUGAGUGCCUAGCCUAUUGGAUAUCACUGUCACCUACACAGGACAGUCAUUACCUUUCUAUUAAUACUUUGUGUUUUAAUUUCACAUUAAUUUCCAUAUUGUAUAAACGACUGGAAAAAACUUGAGCCCCUGCCCCUGUAUAAUCAUGUGCAUGUCUCUGUUCUAGCUCCAAGGUGAAUCUUCACUGCUCAUGUUCUCCUCAGAAGCACUCACCUCACUCCCCUCAGGUUACUGUACACAUGCACCAACUGCCUGCUUCAGGUUUGGAUGGAGCUUCAUGGUUGUCUUUUGGAGAAAUGACCAGUCAAGUUGUGUUUGAAAUUUGAUUUUUUUCAGGGGCAAAAGGAGCCUCUGCAUUCUUGUCAAAUAUGUAAAUAGCAUGUUUUUGCAGGUGCUAAAAACCAGACUCUGAGUGUGUGUGUGUGUGCGUGUGUGUGUGUCUGUGUGUGUGUUCAAGUCACAUGACAUAUUUAACCGGAUGUAGCUGCAAGACGGAGCCUCGUUGACUCUCCGUUUCAACUUAUCUCAAAAGUGAGGACCUCAACCUAUAUACCAGUUUUUAAAUUGUGAUGAUAGGCCAAAUAAAACCAGAGUUAUGAUAAAUUAUGUCCGCGAUACUUUUUUUCUGCUUAUUUUGAUCACGUUCGGCGCUCGAUCGCGCUGUAUGAGACAGGAAAACAUAGCAUGCAGACAUUAGCGACAGCUCUUACAGGCGGAAAAGGCUUGCCAAAAGAAAAAAAAACACACCACAACAUCUCUCCUAUUGGUGGAAAACUUCACCACAACAACCAAUCCAAAAUUAUAUGGUGACUGAUUGACAAGGGGCGGGCGCUUACGUUCUUCCUGCAACAUGAGAAGCGAGGGAGGGACUCUCAGCAGGGAUGCAGUCUGGGACACGUAGUUGCAAACCUAGCGACUUUGUUGUUAGAUUCAAUGACUUUUCAGACCCCCUAACGACUUUUUUUUUAGAAAGAAAGGGACUUUUAUCGACUUCUUCUGGAGUUUAGAGACUCUGACAUGAAGCAGGCUUUCCUUACUGAGGAGUUAGCAAUGCUGCUAAGGGUGCAGAGCCACACAUGCGCUCAGAGCUCUGCAUGGGAGACUGAAGCUGACAGAG